ensembl:lncRNA
CUUGAGGCAGUGGGACAAAGCAGGGCUCUGCUUGGGCAAGCACAGUCCCAACGCCCCCGGCCCAUCCUGGACACCGCCUGGUGGGUGCUGCCGCUGGUCCAGCCCUUGCUCCCCACCACCUGGCAUCCCGGGAAGGAGCUCUAAGGGGGCCGUACCUGCUGCUAAGGGCACGGGAGCGGCCCCCGGAGGCAGAGCCGUCACCUCCUCACGCGCGCCCCUUGCGGCCAGCCACGAGCAGUCCUCAUGGGGCGAGAGCCCUGCCUGCUCGGUGCAGGGUGUCCCGGUUUCCCCUUUGGUAGAUGCAGAGGGGUGGGCUCACCGGCGUCUGGACCGGCAGGGCCCUAGCCCUGGAGGCUGGUGAGGUCAUCUGGGGACAGGGAUGCAGUUUGGCGCCCUGGAGCUCAGGGCGGGACAGGGUCCGCCAGAUGUGCGCCUCCCCCUUGAGCCGCCAGCUGCUCAGGGCUGGGCCCACCGCCACCCUCUGCUUCCCUCCCUCCCGGUGGGUGCUGGGCCACAGCAGACUAGGAAGGGGCCGGGACGGACAAGACCCUGCUCCGUCUCCACCAGUUCCUCUCAGCCCCGGCAGCUGGCUGCUCAAGUGCCUUGGCCUUGAGGCCUGCGCAGAACGGGCCUUGUCCUGGGAAGCAGCACCUUGGAAAUGCGGAGGGGCCCAAGGUCAGGCUCCCGCCUGCCCUCGUUCCUUUGGGGAUCCCCUCCUGCUGAGAGCAGCCCGGCCAGUUCCCUGGGUUCUCACUGGGACCUCGGCCUGCUCCCGGCCUCUGGGAGCCAGGCUGCAGCACAGCAGUGACCCACGUAGAGGCGAGUGGGGAGCUGAGGAGGCGUGUGCCGGGCGGUGUGUGCCCCGGUGCAUCCGCCCACCUUUGGGGAAGGCUUGUUCCCAGGCCCGGUGCUGCCGCCCAGAUGCUUCUUGAAAUAAGGGUCCUGGGCCCUCUUGUCAAACCCCUGGUGAACAGAGGCACACUUGGUCCCUUCUGCAGGACGUGUCAGAGCCUUGAAAUGGUGGUGUGUGUUGGAAAUCUAAUGAGGCUCCGGAGGCACUUCCCGGGCCCUGUGCUUUCCACAUUCAGCACUUCUGAGAUGGGUCGGGGAGGGAAGUGGAGGUGACGUGGUCACCCUGAGGUUCAUGAGCACUGCAGCUCCCUGCCACCCCAGUGCAGGAAGGGUCGCCCGCCUGCCUCAGGCCACUGGCACGCCCGAGAGAGCCGGCUGAGCCUCCACGGGGCUCUGUAAAGCAGGACUGCCAGCCGCCGCUCCAUAGGAGCCUCGUGAGCCUGAACAGAGACGGGAGCUGUAGGAGCUUCGCUGCCGGGGUUAACGCACACCGAGUCAGGCCGCGGGUGCGUCGGGCGGGGGCGGGGGCGAGGGAGGAGUGUGCGCCCCCCUGACCCUUGUCCUCUUGUCCCGACAGAGUGAAGACGCUUCCCCGUGGCCGCCUGCCAUGUGCCGCCCGGAGCAGUGAGGCCCAGCCGGCGUCUGUUGUGGGCAGCAGGGCCAGUGCUCGUCCGUGAACCCCGGCAGUUGGCAGGCUCCCCCGGCAGCGGGGUCCGGGCCUCGGCCCCAUCAUGUCGAGCCUGGGCAGUGCUCCCAGGAUGCCG